AUGUACAGAAGCGGCCCUAGCUCCGCUCAGGGAAAAGGGCAUUCGUCUCGCUACUUACAUAGACGACUGGCUGGUGACGGCUCAAUCAGAGCACAAAGCGAGAGAUCACACAGCCAUGCUCCUAGUACAUCUACAAAAACUGGGAUUAAAAUUAAACACCGAAAAGAGUGUUUUAGUUCCCAGACAGUCAAUAACGUAUCUGGGGUUGUUACUGGACUCAGUGACAUUCAGAGCGCGACUGUCAGAGGGGAGAGUAAUAAAAUUUACGAAAUGCCUGGCCGAAUUUCGGAAGGGGAACAAUGUUUCUUUUCGCACAUGCCUCAGACUAUUAGGUCUGAUGGCCUCAGCUCUAAUAGUCAUUCCCUUAGGCAGACUAUUUAUGAGAGAGUUUCAACGCUGGGUAGCUUCUCUGAGACUAGACCCGUUACGGCACUCCCGGAGGAGAGUGAGAGUGACGUCCGCCGCAGUCUUGGCACUGCGUCACUGGCGGCGCCCGUGCUUUCUGGUACAAGGGGCACCGAUGGGCGUUGUCCAGACCAGGAAGGUCAUAACGACGGACGCGUCGUUGUCCGGUUGGGGGGGCAUUCACGAGGGCAGGGCAGUGAACGGGAGAUGGGGUCCCCAUCUGAGCCACUGUCACAUAAACUACUUGGAAAUGCUGGCCGUCUUUCUGACGUUGAAGCAUUUUCUUCCUUUUCUGGAAGGACAUCAUGUUCUCGUGAGAACGGACAACACUACAGUUGUGGCAUACAUAAACAGACAGGGAGGUCUCAGAUCACUCCCUUUACACAUGUUGGCACGCAAACUGAUUUUGUGGAGCAAUGCCAGUCUUUUAUCCCUGAGAGCUACACACAUACAAGGCAUAAUGAACCGGGGUGCGGAUAUGCUGUCCAGGGGAAAUCCCCUUUAUGGAGAGUGGAAGCUGAACACGGAAGUGGUUGGCCAAAUUUGGAGCAUUUUCGGCAGAGCGACAGUGGAUCUGUUCGCGUCACAGGACAAUGCUCAGUGCCCUUUGUUCUUCUCUCUGAAGGAUCAGAGCGCGCCUCUAGGAAUAGACGCACUAGCGCACGAGUGGCCUCGCGUUCUCCUGUACGCGUUCCCACCGAUUGCGUUGAUAUCUCCAGCCCUUCACAGAGUGAGGGAGGAGGGGCUGAGAAUGAUACUGGUGGCUCCGCGGUGGCCGGGGAAAUUUUGGCUGGCGGAGAUCAUACAUAUGCUGUACGCAGAGCCGUGGUCCCUGCCACUGCGCAGGGAUCUGCUGUCACAGGCGGGGGGGGAGAUAUUUCAUCCUCAUCCAGAACGCCUGGCACUGUGGGCCUGGCCAGUGAAUGGCUAAAUAUGAAUGCAGCUGGUCUGCCAGACAGUGUCAUCAGAACCAUACAGAAUUCCAGGGCCCUGUCCACUCGGUCACUCUACGAAUGUAAAUGGGGCGUGUUUGAGCGUUGGUGCGCGGCUAGACACGUAAUCCCUUUUCAGUGUUCAGUGGCAGUUAUCCUAUCGUUUCUGCAGGAUAUGAUAGAUCAGGGUAAGGCAUUCUCAACAGUAAAGGUGUUUCUUGCCGCAAUAUCUGCCUGUCAUGUAGGUUUUGAUAACAAAACUGUGGGGCAGCACCCUUUGGUAUGCCGGUUUAUGAAGGGUGCGCGUCGCGCUUUGCCAGUUUCGAAACCGAUCUCUCCGUCAUGGGAUUUGGUUCUGGUGCUUGAUGCGCUUUCUGUGUCUCCAUUUGAGCCACUGGACAAAGCUGACCUGAAAUUAUUGUCGUUUAAGACGGCGCUGCUGUUAGCUUUGGCUUCAGCGAAGCGCGUAAGUGAAAUUCACGCACUUUCUGUGAAUUCAGCGUGUACGCAAUUUAUGCCAGGGGACGCAGGGGUGCUUUUGAAACCUAAUCCUGUUUUUAUGCCCAAAGUGGUCAAUUCUAUUGUUCCUCUCAAGUUAAGAGCCUUUAACCCACCGCCUUUUGCUUCAGCAGAACAGCAAAGGCUGAAUACGUUGUGUCCGGUGCGUGCUCUGCGCAUUUACACUGAGAGGACUAAAGUGUUCAGAGAGAGUGAUCAGCUGUUUGUGUCUUGGGCGAAGCCGCGUACGGGGAAGCCGAUUACUAAACAGCGUUUAUCCCACUGGAUAGUGGAGGCAAUUUCUCUUGCAUAUUCCAGUAAGGGUCUUACGCCUUCGUCUGGUUUACGUGCUCAUUCAACAAGAGGAAUGUCAACGACAUGGGCCCUCUUUAAGGGGGUCACGUUACAAGAUAUCUGUGAAGCGGCGAGUUGGUCCUCACCGCACACAUUUGCGAGGUUCUAUAAACUGGAUGUUACAGCUCAAACGUUUGCACAUGCCGUUUUGAGCGUUGGAUCUUAA
rnacentral:lncRNA from 1 species